AUUGAACGCUGGCGGCAUGCUUUACACAUGCAAGUCGAACGGCAGCACGGACUUCGGUCUGGUGGCGAGUGGCGAACGGGUGAGUAAUACAUCGGAACGUGCCCAGUUGUGGGGGAUAACUACUCGAAAGAGUAGCUAAUACCGCAUGGGAACUGAGGUUGAAAGCAGGGGAUCGUAAGACCUUGCGCAACUGGAGCGGCCGAUGGCAGAUUAGGUAGUUGGUGGGAUAAAAGCUUACCAAGCCGACGAUCUGUAGCUGGUCUGAGAGGACGACCAGCCACACUGGGACUGAGACACGGCCCAGACUCCUACGGGAGGCAGCAGUGGGGAAUUGUGGACAAUGGGCGAAAGCCUGAUCCAGCAAUGCCGCGUGCAGGAUGAAGGCCUUCGGGUUGUAAACUGCUUUUGUACGGAACGAAAAGCUUCGGGCUAAUACCCUGGAGUCAUGACGGUACCGUAAGAAUAAGCACCGGCUAACUACGUGCCAGCCGCCGCGGUAACAC
rnacentral:rRNA from 1 species